rnacentral:rRNA from 1 species
UACGUAGGGUGCAAGCGUUAAUCGGAAUUACUGGGCGUAAAGCGUGCGCAGGCGGUUGUUUAAGACAGGUGUGAAAUCCCCGGGCUUAACCUGGGACUGGCAUUUGUGACUGCACGGCUAGAGUGUGGCAGAGGGGGGUAGAAUUCCACGUGUAGCAGUGAAAUGCGUAGAGAUGUGGAGGAAUACCGAUGGCGAAGGCAGCCCCCUGGGAUAACACUGACGCUCAUGCACGAAAGCGUGGGGAGCAAACAGG